AACCACACAGCAUGUUGGAGGAGCAGGCCACCAAGGUGAAGAUGACAUGGGUGGUGAUCGUGGCGGGCAUGUCGACCAUGCUGGCCGCCGUGGCCACGGACCACUGGGCCGUGCUCAGCCCCCGAGUGGAAAAGCUCAACGCCACCUGCCAGGCCGUUCACUUUGGCCUCUGGAGGCUGUGCAAGAAAAACAUCUUCAUGGUGGAGGAGGACCCGCAGGGCAAAGGCUGCGGCCCCAUCGGCCUGCCCGGAGCCAAGAACUGCUCCUACUUCAAACACUUCACAUCAGGAGAAGAGGCGGAAGUUUUUGAAGUCAAGACCCAGAAGGAGUACAACAUCUCGGCGGCGGCCAUCGCCAUUUUCAGCCUGUUCUUCAUGAUCCUGGGGACCUUGUGCGUCAUCUGCUCCUUCGGGAAGGCCCGCGACUACCUGCUGAGGCCCGCCGGCAUGUUCUUCGCCUUUGCAGGCCUGUGCAUCGUCAUCUCGGUGGAAGUCAUGCGUCAGUCGGUCAAGCGGAUGAUCGCCAGUGACGAGACCAUCUGGAUCGAGUACUACUACUCGUGGUCCUUUGCGUGCGCUUGCGCCUCCUUCACCCUCCUCAUCCUUAGUGGCGUGGCCCUGCUCCUCAUCUCCAUGCCCCAAAUGCCCCGAAACCCCUGGGAGACCUGCAUGGACGCUGAGCCCGACACCUUGGAUUAGCUUCACGCCCGCUCACACGCACUGCAAGCUACAGUAGAGCUUUGAGAGAAAGAUCAAUUUAUUUUAUUUUAUUUUAUUUUAUUAUUGGGUCUGGAACAUAUUGAGCGCUAGUUUCAGUCCCUAUCCAUGUGGC